rnacentral:lncRNA from 1 species
AAGGGUUCAAUGACUGAAAUUUCCUCGUUUGUUGCAGGACCACAAACUUGUAAAACACCUAGAUCCAUCAAGUUUUGAAUAUCAGCUCAUACCACUUUACAUCCCCUUGGAUAAACGACACAUUCUUCAUAGUUGUCGUGACAGGUAUCAAUAAAACUAGCUCCCACCAAUCUUGCAUGGAGUGCUAGCAACGGAGUUUUAACAUCUUCAACAUUUUUGAUUAUACAAACAUCAGAAACAUCCUCA